UGGCUCAGUGGUUGAGCGCCUGCCUUCAGCUCAGGAUCCUGAACCCAGGAUCCAGGAUCAAGUCCUGG
rnacentral:tRNA from 1 species